rnacentral:ncRNA from 1 species
UAUCUACAUCGUCGGGAUAAAAGACAGCAGGGUGUAGGUGUAAUCCGCUACUGUGGGAAAGUAAAUUUAACAGCGGUAUGGGUGGCGAAGUUAGCGCCCUAUUUACGAACGGCUGACGCGU